AUGUUUAUUUUCAAUGAUUUAUUCUAGUCUUGUUCCUUAUCUACAUGGAAAACCACAAGUUGGCUGGCAUUGAGACACUCUCUACCUUCCUGUAAAUCCUGUAUUAAAACCAGUUCAAGAACCCUGGAGAAGUUUCCAGCUUCUUAAGAUCCUUAUUUCUUAUUAUCCUAUGUGAAAACUGAAAGUCAACAAUUUAUCUUGCUUACUCAUACUUUGAAGAAGUAAAUCUCAACUGAGAGAUACUUGAAAGUAGAGACAUUUUUUACUUACCACAUUUUCCUUAUCACAAUGUGAACUGAAAUCACUUGAUACAAUUGCAGCAUACUGGAGCAGCACUUUAUUGAUAGUCUAAGAAAGAAAACAUUGUGAACUUUACCCAGGUCUUACUGGGAAUGAAGUGGAUCAUCAAUCAGACUAAUCAACAUUGGACUUGGCCUACAGCUUUGCUGGUUUAUAGCUUCCAAUGGGGAAAAGUCACUGCUGCAUCUUACUCAUUUUUUUUUCUGUAUUAAAAUAAAAGGCCCUGAUUGUGUCAGUAAAUUUUUUUGCUAAGAAUUGUUGAUAAAACAAAAAAAAAAUUCAUCCAUAAUAGUUCAAAUUAACCACUCAUAAAUAAUCAGUUUCAAGUAUGUCUCAGAAUCUUAUAACUUUUAUUACAAAAUCAUUACUUAUAGUUUUUUAUUAAAACACUCAAAUCUUUGUGGAUUUUACCUCUUGAAAUUUAUGGUACAUUUUCUCAUUACUUAUUUAAAUGUAACCUGUAAUUGAGAUCCUUUUUUGUGGGAGGAAAUUGAUUUCUAUCAAUGAUUUACAGCAUACAAAAACAAACUGUAGGAAUUUCUCUUUUUGGUAGAUUUCAACUAAGCUCUUUUUUCCUUAGCUUUUCUGAAUUUGCCUUCAUCUCCUUAUUAUUUACUAAGGAGAUGGGCCCAAGUGAUAGGUCAUGAAGAUAAAGUGAAAACAUGUUCACUUAGUUUAUAUUUUGACAGGAAGUAAAAACAUCCUAAAUAUUUGAUCAAUUUAAAAUGUAUUAUUGGCAGGAAUAGUUAUUUACUUACUUUACUGAUAAUGUAUUUGUUUAAUAAGUCUAAAUUUCCUUUCUCUGUAUGCCAUUUUAGUUCUGACAUGUUCAAUUCAGCUCAUGGUUUUAAAAUAACAUCUGGAUAGGAGUUCCUAAUGUAUCAUGUCUCAAUUUUACACUGAAAACGCAUAAGUGAACACAGAAAAUUAUGAAUACUUCCAUGCUCGCUAAAAAGUAAAACCAAUCAAUAACCAUGGCUAGGACCUAGGGGAAAUUUUCAAAACAACUGGAUUUAUAAAACUGCAAUACAAUGACCCAUUCAGAUGUGUUUGAGCACCUAAGACCAUGUCUCCCACUAUAAUCCUGACUCUUGCUGUUCAUCUCUUCCUCACCUCCAGUUGCUUGCCAGGUAUGAA
rnacentral:lncRNA from 10 species